UACGUAGGGCGCAAGCGUUAUCCGGAAUUAUUGGGCGUAAAGAGCUCGUAGGUGGUUUGUCGCGUUGUUCGUGAAAACUCACAACUCAAUUGUGGGCGUGCGGGCGAUACGGGCAGACUUGAGUACUGCAGGGGAGACUGGAAUUCCUGGUGUAGCGGUGGAAUGCGCAGAUAUCAGGAGGAACACCGGUGGCGAAGGCGGGUCUCUGGGCAGUAACUGACGCUGAGGAGCGAAAGCGUGGGGGAGCGAACAGG
rnacentral:rRNA from 1 species